rnacentral:rRNA from 1 species
CCUACGGGGGACAGCAGUAGGGAAUCUUUCACAAUGGGCGAAAGCCUGAUGGAGCAACGCCGCGUGCAGGAUGAAGGCCUUCGGGUUGUAAACUGCUUUUAUAAGCGAGAAAUAUGAUGGUAACUUAUGAAUAAGGAUCGGCUAACUACGUGCCAGCAGCCGCGGUCAUACGUAGGAUCCGAGCAUUAUCCGGAGUGACUGGGUGUAAAGAGUUGCGUAGGUGGCAUAAUAAGUAGCUAGUGAAAUCUGGUGGCUCAACAAUUCAGACGAUUAGCUAAACUGUUAAGCUCGAGACCGUUAGGGGUAACUGGAAUUUCUAGUGUAGGAGUGAAAUCCGUAGAUAUUAGAAGGAACACCAAUAGCGUAGGCAGGUUGCUGGGACGGUUCUGACACUAAGGCACGAAAGCGUAGGGAGCAAACGGGAUUAGAUACCCUAGUAGUC